rnacentral:rRNA from 1 species
CCUACGGGGGGCAGCAGUGGGGAAUAUUGGACAAUGGGGGGAACCCUGAUCCAGCGACGCCGCGUGAGUGAAGAAGUAUUUCGGUAUGUAAAGCUCUAUCAGCAGGGAAGAAAGAAAUGACGGUACCUGACUAAGAAGCCCCGGCUAACUACGUGCCAGCAGCCGCGGUAAUACGUAGGGGGCAAGCGUUAUCCGGAUUUACUGGGUGUAAAGGGAGCGUAGACGGCGAUGCAAGUCUGAAGUGAAAGGCGGGGGCCCAACCCCUGGACUGCUUUGGAAACUGUAUGGCUGGAGGGCAGGAGAGGUAAGUGGAAUUCCUAGUGUAGCGGUGAAAUGCGUAGAUAUUAGGAGGAACACCAGUGGCGAAGGCGGCUUACUGGACUGUAACUGACGUUGAGGCUCGAAAGCGUGGGGAGCAAACAGGAUUAGAUACCCUAGUAGUC